rnacentral:lncRNA from 1 species
AUUAUGGGUGAUUAUUCAGACUAGUGCACACAUUUUACAGUUCAAACAAGGCAAUGCCGAGCGUGGCAUCCCCUCGUAUGUAACAUAUUGGGGACAAAUAUGGACACUAUAUUUGUAUAUGACACAUGCAGAAAAUGGUAAAUUGAAUAUGCAUAUUUGAUACAUAAACUAUUUUUUUUUAGAAAUCAACCAAAACAUUCAGUAACUGGAAAUACCUUUAAUAUUGUC